AUACAGAGGGUGCGAGCGUUAAUCGGAAUUACUGGGCGUAAAGCGCGCGUAGGCGGCUUAUUAAGUCAGAUGUGAAAUCCCCGGGCUCAACCUGGGAACUGCAUCUGAUACUGGUAAGCUAGAGUUUGGGAGAGGGAAGUAGAAUUUCAGGUGUAGCGGUGAAAUGCAUAGAGAUCUGAAGGAAUACCAGUGGCGAAGGCGACUUCCUGGCCUAAAACUGACGCUGAGGUGCGAAAGCCUGGGUAGCAAACGGGAUUAGAAACCCCAGUAGUCC
rnacentral:rRNA from 1 species